AGCUUUGCGCAGUGGCAUUACCUUAGCUGAUGGGGUCCAUCCGAGGCGCGGUUAUUGCUGAUUGAAAACUUUUCCCAAUACCCCGCGAGACGACUUGAAACAUAGUCGGCUUUGCAAUUUUUGUGGGCCCUAUUUAGGG
rnacentral:snRNA from 2 species